rnacentral:rRNA from 1 species
UGAUGUGUAGGAUAGGUGGGAGGCUUUGAAGUGUGGACGCCAGUCUGCAUGGAGCCGACCUUGAAAUACCACCCUUUAAUGUUUGAUGUUCUAACGUGGGCCCCUUACCGGGGUUGCGGACAGUGUCUGGUGGGUAGUUUGACUGGGGCGGUCUCCUCCUAAAGAGUAACGGAGGAGCACGAAGGUUGGCUAAUCCUGGUCGGACAUCAGGAGGUUAGUGCAAUGGCAUAAGCCAGCUUGACUGCGAGCGUGACGGCGCGAGCAGGUGCGAAAGCAGGUCAUAGUGAUCCGGUGGUUCUGAAUGGAAGGGCCAUCGCUCAACGGAUAAAAGGUACUCCGGGGAUAACAGGCUGAUACCGCCCAAGAGUUCAUAUCGACGGCGGUGUUUGGCACCUCGAUGUCGGCUCAUCACAUCCUGGGGCUGAAGUAGGUCCCAAGGGUAUGGCUGUUCGCCAUUUAAAGUGGUACGCGAGCUGGGUUUAGAACGUCGUGAGACAGUUCGGUCCCUAUCUGCCGUGGGCGCUGGAGAACUGAGGGGGGCUGCUCCUAGUACGAGAGGACCGGAGUGGACGCAUCACUGGUGUUCGGGUUGUCAUGCCAAUGGCACUGCCCGGUAGCUAAAUGCGGAAGAGAUAAGUGCUGAAAGCAUCUAAGCACGAAACUUGCCCCGAGAUGAGUUCUCCCUGACUCCUUGAGAGUCCUGAAGGAACGUUGAAGACGACGACGUUGAUAGGCCGGGUGUGUAAGCGCAGCGAUGCGUUGAGCUAACCGGUACUAAUGAACCGUGAGGCUUAACCUU